rnacentral:rRNA from 1 species
UCCUACGGGGGGCAGCAGUGGGGAAUAUUGCACAAUGGGGGAAACCCUGAUGCAGCAACGCCGCGUGAGUGAAGAAGUAUUUCGGUAUGUAAACCUCUUUUGUCAGGGAACAAAGGCGGGGACGUGUCCCCGGAUGAGUGUACCUGAAGAAAAAGCAUCGGCUAACUCCGUGCCAGCAGCCGCGGUAAUACGGAGGAUGCGAGCGUUAUCCGGAUUUAUUGGGUUUAAAGGGUGCGCAGGCGGUCUGUUAAGUCAGCGGUCAAAGCCCGGGGCUCAACCCCGGCCCGCCGUUGAAACUGGCCGUC